rnacentral:rRNA from 1 species
CUUUGAUCCUGGCUCAGGACGAACGCUGGCGGCGUGCUUAACACAUGCAAGUCGAACGAGAAGAGAUAAGAAGCUUGCUUCUUAUCGAUUCGAGUGGCAAACGGGUGAGUAACGCGUAAGCAACCUGCCCUCUAGAUGGGGACAACAGCUGGAAACGGCUGCUAAUACCGAAUACGUUCUUUCUGUCGCAUAGCAGAAGGAAGAAAGGGAGGCUCUUCGGAGCUUUCGCUGGAGGAGGGGCUUGCGUCUGAUUAGCUAGUUGGAGGGGUAACGGCCCACCAAGGCGACGAUCAGUAGCCGGUCUGAGAGGAUGAACGGCCACAUUGGGACUGAGACACGGCCCAGACUCCUACGGGAGGCAGCAGUGGGGAAUCUUCCGCAAUGGACGAAAGUCUGACGGAGCAACGCCGCGUGAACGAUGAC